rnacentral:rRNA from 1 species
GAUGAACGCUGGCGGCGUGCUUAACACAUGCAAGUCGAACGAUGAAGCCUAGAUUGCUAGGUGGAUUAGUGGCGAACGGGUGAGUAAUAAGUGAGUAAACUACCUUUAACUCUGGGAUAAGUCCGGGAAAGUGGGUCUAACACCGGAUACGACCAAUCUCCGCCUGGGGGGUUGGAGGAAAGCGUUAUGUAGUGGUUAUAGAUGGGCUCACGGCCGAUCAGCUUGUUGGUGAGGUAACGGCUCACCAAGGCGACGACGGGUAGCCGGACUGAGAGGGUGAACGGCCACACUGGGACUGAGGCACGGCCCAGACUCCUACGUGAGACAGCAGUGGGGAAUAUUGCACAAUGGGCGCAAGCGUGAUGCAGCGACGCCGCGUGAGGGAUGACGUCCUUCGGGUUGUAAACCUCUGUUAGCAGGGAAGAAGAGAGAUUGACGGUACCUGCAGAGAAAGCGCCGGCUAACUACGUG